rnacentral:rRNA from 1 species
CUACGUGCCAGCAGCCGCGGUAAUACGGAAGGUCCAGGCGUUAUCCGGAUUUAUUGGGUUUAAAGGGAGCGUAGGCUGGAGAUUAAGUGUGUUGUGAAAUGUAGACGCUCAACGUCUGAMUUGCAGCGCAUACUGGUUUCCUUGAGUACGCACAACGUUGGCGGAAUUCGUCGUGUAGCGGUGAAAUGCUUAGAUAUGACGAAGAACUCCGAUUGCGAAGGCAGCUGACGGGAGCGCAACUGACGCUUAAGCUCGAAGGUGCGGGUAUCAAACAGGAUUAGAUACCCUGGUAGUCCGCACAGUAAACGAUGGAUGCCCGCUGUUGGUACCUGGUAUCAGCGGCUAAGCGAAAGCAUUAAGCAUCCCACCUGGGGAGUACGCCGGCAACGGUGAAACUCAAAGGAAUUGACGGGGGCCCGCACAAGCGGAGGAACAUGUGGUUUAAU